rnacentral:rRNA from 1 species
CAGCCGCCGCGGUAAUACGAAGGGUGCAAGCGUUAAUCGGAAUCACUGGGCGUAAAGCGCACGUAGGCGGCUUGGUAAGUUAGAGGUGAAAGCCUGGAGCUCAACUCCAGAAUUGCCUUUAAGACUGCCGAGCUAGCAGGUGAGAGAGGUAAGUGGAAUUCCGAGUGUAGAGGUGAAAUUCGUAGAUAUUCGGAAGAACACCAGUGGCGAAGGCGGCUUACUGGCUCAUACUGGACGCUGAGGUGCGAAAGCGUGGGGAGCAAACAGGAUUAGAUACCCCCGUAGUCCCUGUCUCUUAUAC